AAGUCGUAACAAGGUUUCCGUAGGUGAACCUGCGGAAGGAUCAUUAACACGUAUCCAACGUUAAACAACCCUGUGAACUUUCAACCCCGUCGGAAUGAGAUUAAUUUCCAACUCCGGCGAAGACAAGUGACCUGGCACCUGACCUCAUCAAAGCUCUGACAGCGUGCCUCUGGAUGCUUAAUGGAGGGGCAUUAAAGAAUGCCGCUGACCCGGUCGCCGGCCGUGUGGGCCUCCAGCGAUCGUUACUGCGUCACCCUUCAACCACUUAACAUGACGACAGUUCCUCUUUAACUUGAGUUGAGCUAUAACAAAAAACUAAUACAACUGUUAACAAUGGAUAUCUUGGUUCUC
rnacentral:misc_RNA from 1 species